rnacentral:rRNA from 1 species
CCUACGGGUGGCAGCAGUGAGGAAUAUUGGUCAAUGGCCGGAAGGCUGAACCAGCCAAGCCGCGUGAAGGACGAAGGUGCCAAGCAUUGUAAACUUCUUUUGUCAAGGGACAAAAUCAGGCUCGAGAGCCUGACCGAGGGUACUUGAAGAAACAGCCUCGGCUAACUCCGUGCCAGCAGCCGCGGUACUACGGAGGAUGCGAGCGUUAUCCGGAUUUAGUGGGGUUAAAGGGUGCGUAGGCGGACUGUUAAGUCAGCGGGAAAAGCCCGGGGCUCAACCCCGGCGAGCCGUUGAAACUGGCUGUCUUGAGAUGUCGAGAGGUAUGCGGAAUGCGCAGUGUAGCGUUGAAAUGCUUAGAUAUUGCGCAUAACUCCGAUUGCGAAGGCAGCAUACCGGCGGCGAUCUGACGCUGAGGCACGAAAGCGUGGGUAUCGAACAGGAUUAGAUACCCGAGUAGUC